rnacentral:rRNA from 1 species
AGCAGUCGCCGCGGUAAUACGAAGGGUGCAAGCGCUACUCGGAAUUACUGGGCGUAAAGCGUGCGUAGGUGGUGGUUUAAGUCCGUUGUGAAAGCCCUGGGCUCAACCUGGGAAUUGCAGUGGAUACUGGGUCACUAGAGUGUGGUAGAGGAUAGUGGAAUUUCCGGUGUAGCAGUGAAAUGCGUAGAGAUCGGAAGGAACAUCUGUGGCGAAGGCGACUAUCUGGGCCAACACUGACACUGAGGCACGAAAGCGUGGGGAGCAAACAGGAUUAGAUACCCCUGUAGUCCCUGUCUCUUAUAC